CUGAAUUAACAUGAAAAUGCGUCUUCCGGUGAGAUGUACUGACUCAUAUCUAAUGGCAGCAAAUGUUCAAGUGCAGUACCUGCACCUUUCAAAGGCCUUUUUUUCAUCAGUGCUCAUUUAUAUUGAGGAGUUUAGCUGAAUGGGGAGAGAAGAAGAGUAAGAAAAGAACUCAACCAAUUUUCCAUUAGUAUUAUGGGAACAAUAGUAAAGCUUAUCCUGACUAUCUGUACUCACUCAGUUGUAGCCUCAGUUUGUUCUGAUCACCUAAUAAGAUCUCUAAAAGAUGGUGGCAGCAUUUUCCAUGUCUCCCUCUACCUGAGGUUAGAUUGUUGAUACAUCCAGCUUCACCUGCCUUGAUGAAAAAUCCAUUAAGUGACCACAGAUUAGAGUUGACCUUAAAGGCUUUUCAUGGCCUCUCUUCUGCUAUAUACAGUACCUGAGCCUAUACAAAGGCUGAGUCCUGAGGCUAGAGCCUAAAACCGAAAAGUAACAGAGAAUUUCCUGCCAGAGCCCUGGAGCUAUGGAAUAAACUGCCUCAGGAAAUGGGGCCAGUGACAUCUUUUACAUCUCUUUUUAAGAUUUUUUUUUUUUUUGAGAACCCCUACUGAUUUUAUCCCACUGCUUUUAUUUCUUGUACCACCACUGUACCACCCUCUUUUAUUUGGUAUUUUAGUUGGGUUUGCGAUCUAUUAUUAAAAUAAAUUGAAUACAGAUACAUUUAAAAUGUAAAACACAUUAAAUACACUAUGUUUUGUGUGUAGCUUUCAGUGCAAAACAGAAUGAAUUCUGUAUUCAUCAUAAAACUCAACUACCAGUGUUUAUGUUAAUUAAAACAUCCACUUUUAAGACUUUUGGUGUAACAGCACCUCUGUCAUUUUGACCUAUUUAGACAUAUUUUUCCAUAUCUUCAGGAAAACUGAUUUUAAAGUUUUAAAAAGUGAGUGGCAGAGAGUAAUAAAAACUUGGUCCCAGCCAAAAGCCAAGACACAAGAUGAGGAUCGGGUGGAAAGUUCAGAGAAAGCAAACAAUGAUAGAUGGUAAAAAGCUCAAUUCUUU
ensembl:lncRNA